CCUACGGGAGGCAGCAGUGGGGGAUAUUGCACAAUGGGGGGAACCCUGAUGCAGCGACGCCGCGUGGGUGAAGGAGUGCUUCGGCAUGUAAAGCCCUAUCGGCAGGGAAGAAGCAAGACGGUACCUGACUAAGAAGCCCCGGCUAACUACGUGCCAGCAGCCGCGGUAAUACGGAGGGGGCGAGCGGUAUCCGGAUGCACUGGGUGUAAAGGGAGCGUAGACGGCCAUGCAAGCCAGGGGUGAAAGCCCGGGGCCCAACCCCGGGACUGCCCUUGGAACUGCCUGGCGGGAGUGCGGGAGGGGCAGGCGGAAGUGCGGGUGUGGCGGUGAAAGGCGUAGAGAUCAGGAGG
rnacentral:rRNA from 1 species